rnacentral:lncRNA from 1 species
UUCUAUUAGGGAUGGGCGUUCGGAUACCCGUUCGGGUUCUGAUUGGAUAUUUCAGAUGUUUGGGUAUUUCGAUAUAGAGGUAUAGAAUCCGGGUCGAGUUUGGGUAUUUUUAGUUCGGGUUCGGGUAUUUUGGAUAUAACCGGAAAAAACAAAGCAUUUGAUAAAAGAAAAUUUAAAACCACAUAAUUUUUGCAGAAAAAAAACUAUUCCUCUUCUUGCUUUUGUUAUGUAAA